rnacentral:rRNA from 1 species
UUUGCCAAGGACGUUUUCAUUAAUCAAGAACGAAAGUUAGGGGAUCGAAGAUGAUCAGAUACCGUCGUAGUCUUAACCAUAAACUAUGCCGACUAGGGAUCGGGUGGUGCUACUUUGCCCACUCGGCACCUUACGAGAAAUCAAAGUUUUUGGGUUCUGGGGGGAGUAUGGUCGCAAGGCUGAAACUUAAAGGAAUUGACGGAAGGGCACCACCAGGAGUGGAGCCUGCGGCUUAAUUUGACUCAACACGGGGAAACUCACCAGGUCCAGACGUAAUAAGGAUUGACAAGUUAGAGACUUCUCUUGAUCUUACGGGUGGUGGUGCAUGGCCGUUUUUAGUCCUUGGAGUGAUUUGUCUGCUUAAUUGCGAUAACGGACGAGACCUUAACCUGCUAAAUAGGGCUGCGAGCAUCUGCUCGGGUGCUCUUCUUAGAGGGACUAUGGGUAUCAAACCCAUGGAAGUUUGAGGCAACAACAGGUCUGUGAUGCCCUUAGACGUUCUGG